AUUUAAAUAGCUUAAAAAGAGUAUAAUAUUGAAGAUAUUGAGGUGAUUAAUAAAUCUUUAGAUA
rnacentral:tRNA from 1 species